rnacentral:rRNA from 1 species
UUAGUAGAGUGGCGAACGGGUGAGUAACACGUGGGUAACCUACCCCUCGCAGGGGGACAACCGGGGGAAACUCCGGCUAAUACCCCGUACGCUUGUCGGGUCGCAUGGCCUGGCAAGGAAAGGUAGCUUCGGCCAUCCGGCGAGGGAUGGGCCCGCGGUGCAUUAGCUAGUUGGUGGGGUAACGGCCCACCAAGGCGACGAUGCAUAGUUGGUCUGAGAGGAUGAUCAGCCACACUGGGACUGAGACACGGCCCAGACUCCUACGGGAGGCAGCAGUCGGGAAUCUUGCGCAAUGGGCGAAAGCCUGACGCAGCAACACCGUGUGAGCGAUGAAGGCCUUAGGGUCGUAAAGCUCUGUUGUUGGGGACGAAGGGCGAAGGGUUAAUAGCCCCUAGCUUGACGGUACCCUUCGAGGAAGCCCCGGCUAACUACGUGCCAGCAGCCGCGGUAAUACGUAGGGGGCGAGCGUUGUCCGGAAUUAUUGGGCGUAAAGAGCGUGUAGGCGGUUCGGUAAGUCUGCCGUGAAAACCUGGGGCUCAACCCCGGGCGUGCGGUGGAUACUGCCGGGCUAGAGGACGGUAGAGGCGAGUGGAAUUCCCAGUGUAGCGGUGAAAUGCGCAGAUAUUGGGAGGAACACCCGUAGCGAAGGCGGCUCGCUGGGCCGUUCCUGACGCUGGGACGCGAAAGCUAGGGGAGCAAACAGGAUUAGAUACCCUGGUAGUCCUAGCCGUAAACGAUGGAUACUAGGUG